rnacentral:rRNA from 1 species
CGGCCGGCGCACGGGUGCGUAACGCGUAUGCAACCUACCCAUAACAGGGGGAGUAACACUGAGAAAUUGGUACUAAUACCCCAUAACAUCAGGACCGGCAUCGGUUCUGGUUGAAAACUCCGGUGGUUAUGGAUGGGCAUGCGUUGUAUUAGCUGGUUGGUGAGGUAACGGCUCACCAAGGCAACGAUACAUAGGGGGACUGAGAGGUUAACCCCCCACAUUGGUACUGAGACACGGACCAA